rnacentral:rRNA from 1 species
AACGAACGCUGGCGGCGUGGAUUAGGCAUGCAAGUCGUACGCGAAAGAGGGGGCAACCCCUUGAGUAGAGUGGCGAACGGGUGAGUAACGCGUGAGGAACCUGCCUUCGACAGGGGGAUAACACUCCCAACGGGUGCUAAUACCGCAUGAGACCACGGGGCUGCAUGGCCUUGAGGUCAAAGAUGGCCUCUAUUUAUAAGCUAUCGGUCGAAGAUGGCCUCGCGUCCCAUUAGCUAGUUGGCGGUGUAAAAGACCACCAAGGCGACGAUGGGUAGCUGGUCUGAGAGGAUGGUCAGCCACACUGGGACUGAGAUACGGCCCAGACUCCUACGGGAGGCAGCAGUCGAGAGGCUUCGGCAAUGGGGGAAACCCUGACCGAGCGACGCCGCGUGA